UAGAAGAGACUACUGGUCUCUAGAGACUCCUACCACACCAGGUAGUAACCACAACAUUAGAAGAGACUACUGGUCUCUAGAGACUCCUACCACACCGGGUAGUAACCACAACAUUAGAAGAGACUACUGGUCUAUAGAGACUCCUACCACACCAGGUAGUAACCACAACAUUAGAAGAGACUACUGGUCUCUAGACUCCUACCACACCAGGUAGUAACCACAACAUUAGAAGAGACUACUGGUCUCUCUAGACUCCUACCACACCAGGUAGUAACCACAACAUUAGAAGAGACUACUGGUCUCUCUAGACUCCUACCACACCAGGUAGUAACCACAACAUUAGAAGAGACUACUGGUCUCUAGACUCCUACCACACCAGGUAGUAACCACAACAUUAGAAGAGACUACUGGUCUCUAGACUCCUACCACACCAGGUAGUAACCACAACAUUAGAAGAGACUACUGGUCUCUCUAGACUCCUACCACACCAGGUAGUAACCACAACAUUAGAAGAGACUACUGGUCUAUAGAGACUCCUACCACACCAGGUAGUUACCACAACAUUAGAAGAGACUACUGGUCUCUCUAGACUCCUACCACACCAGGUAGUAACCACA